rfam:Medicago truncatula strain A17 chromosome 7, whole genome shotgun sequence.
AAACAGUCCCCUAUGUAUUGGAUCUUUGGCAGUUUUGGCCCCCAAGGCCAAUUUUGACUUGGCCUUUGCUGACGUGGCGUCAAAACUUGGCCCCCUAUGUGGGUGCCACGUCAGCGAAGACCAAGUCAAAAUUGGCUUUGAUGACCAAAACUGUCAAAGAUCCAAUACAUAUGGGGCUGUUU